AAUUCUUCUGAGACCAAAAGAAGAAUAAAUCAAAGAAGAACUCUUACCUUGGGAGUUGAAAAGGGAAAGAAAGAACAACUGGAAAGUGUCCCUGUCAUAUUCUCAGGGAGGUGAACACAUGGAAGGCUGAAGGACAUCCUAGCAAAAGAGGCAAAAGGCUCCUGACUCUUGGGAAGAACCCUGCUCCUUACUUCCCCCAUUAGAGGGAGAGCUCCUCUAGCACCCCCAUCUUUUCUGGACUGUUCAAAGACAGCAAGUAUGCUUUCCUGGGCAGGAGAAGUCUGACUAGCAAUUUUUCCCAGGCACUGAUUUGAGGAACCGAGACAUUGUGGUUGUUCGGAGGACAAUUUUCAGGGCCUUCUGUCAACUUCUUCACCAUCGAUUU